CCUACGGGUGGCAGCAGUGGGGAAUAUUGGGCAAUGGAGGCAACUCUGACCCAGCAAUGCCGCGUGAGUGAUGAAGGUAAUUUUAUUGUAAAGCUCUUUUCUUUGGAACGAAUAAAUGACGGUACCAAAGGAAUAAGCCCCGGGUAACUACGUGCAAGCAGCCGCGGUAAUGCGUAGGGGGCAAGCGUUGUACGGAAUGAAUGGGCGUAAGGGGUGUGUAGGUGGUUUGAUAAGUUAGGUGGGUAAUACCCCGGGCUUAACUAGGGUUCUGCAUCUGAAACUGUUAGACUUGAGUACUGGAGAGGAUAGUGGAAGUCCUAGUGUAGCGGUGGAAUGCGUAGAUAUUAGGAGGAACAUCAGUGGCGAAGGCGACUAUCUGGACAGCAACUGACACGGAGGCACGAAAGCGUGGGGAGCAAACAGGAUUAGAUACCCGAGUAGUC
rnacentral:rRNA from 1 species